GCUCCAAUAGCGUAUAUUAAAGCUGUUGCGGUUAAAAAAGCUCGUAGUUGGACUUCUGCUGAGGACGCUGGUCUGCCUCUGGGUGAGUAUCUGGUUCGGCCGAAGCAUCUUCUUGGAGGUUGCAAGCGCACUUCAUUGUGUGGUGCAACCGACUGGAAUUUUACUUUGAGGAAAUUAGAGUGUUCAAGGGAGGCAUGCGC
rnacentral:rRNA from 1 species